AUGAAGGACGACGCUAGCCCCGGACCAGACGGUUUUGGCCCAUCUUUCUAUAAAUCAUAUUGGAACCUAAUCAAAUCUGAUCUCUUAAAUUUACUAAACGAAUUCCAUGCGGGCACCGCGGAUCUUAAGCGAAUCAACACUGCUCACAUUGUGCUCCUUCCCAAAAAAUCGGAUGCUGCCUCGCCGGAGAACUAUAGGCCGGUUUCACUCCAAAAUUGCUCUGUAAAGCUAACGUCCAAGUGCCUCUCUCUAAGGGCUCAACCCCUCAUCAAUCAUCUAAUUCACUACGAUCAAACCGGCUUCGUCAGAGGACGUGGGAUUGCCAAAAAUUUUCUUCACGCUUCUGAUCUAGUCCAAACCUGUUUCAAACGUCGGCUUCCGGCAAUCGUCCUUAAGCUAGAUUUCCACAAGGCCUUUGACUCAGUUUCUUGGACCGGCCUUACCAACAUCCUGAAGGCUCAAGGAUUUCCUCCGCUCUGGUGUCGCUGGGUGCACAGUUUAAACACCACGGCCAGCUCAGCCGUUCUGCUCAACGGUAAACCGGGGCCCUGGUUCCAGUGCCGCAAAGGAUUGCGACAAGGCGACUCCCUCUCCCCCUAUCUGUUCAUUUUAGUGGCCGAUGUCUUAAAACGUCUUAUU
rnacentral:rRNA from 1 species